rnacentral:rRNA from 1 species
GAGCUUGUUUUGAUACCCCUUUUAUUUUACAGUAGUAUUUAAGUGCUGCAACGUAGUAUUUCCGGAGUAAGACUACCUUGUCAGAUCGGGCUCUCUUGGCAUUUUUCUACGUUGCCUAUUAGAAGAAGAUGUAUCAUUCUUUUUAUAAACCUAAUACUACAGAGUCAACGUCGAUCCAAUAGACUUUGAGCUUGACGGUACUUUAAUAAGUGUUUGUUUGUUUUACGUAUAGAGACAGUCCCUUCUACCUUCGUCUUGAGAGUCCUGAUAUGCCAGUGCUGGAUCUACAAAGGAAGUUUUAGAUAGUAGAAGUCAACCAGUACACUUCUUGUUGCUAACCAGUGUACCAUCAUUAGGUAAUCGGAUAACCGUGGUCUGUUGUUGACUGUGAACAGUUUGAUUCGAAUUAGUGAACGACGAUGUAGGUUGGACAAAAGAACAUAAAUUCCGUUCAUAACGUGUACUAAAUCGCUUCGUUUAAUCUGAUCGUCGUUUUUUCCUUCUCGCUCUCGAAUGACAGUAAGCGUACCGCUGGAGCUAGUACCGAAGAUACCGAGACUUUAGUAGAGGUAGCGGUAAAAGACCCGUCAGCGUCGAGGUCGCGUAGGUCGGAAGUCGUGCUAGUAGUAGAAAGUCUCAUUACAGGUUUUUCCGUUUCUUUCAAGUCUGAAGAGUCGGAAAGCCAGUCAUGUACGAUAUUUUAGGUGGAAGACAGUAUGCCUUAAAGAUCCUUAUUUUUCCUUGAUAAUGACCGGAUAACCUAUCGUAAAAAAAACAAAUAGUUACAUCGAGUCAUAUAGGAUGUUUUCGAUACUUUAACACGAAAGAAUUGUAGAUCCCGGGCCCCCUCCUAACCUUGACUUUCUACCACAACUACGUAGACCUUCCGAUCGGUUCCCCUUCCCGCAGAUGGUCAAACGGUCGUUCAUACCUCGUUUACAACUACCCCGUCGGGUUAUAUAUUGGGUCUUCUUACCAGAGGUUCACCACUGAUGAUACGCCCUCCUUUCUGUACCAACAACGAGACCCACCGAUGAGAACGACCUUAAGACGACCCACCACGAGACGAACAAAUGUUAUGAUCACGAAACCGAAGAACUUCGGACCAUAGCCUUUGGUCUAAUACAUGGUACGUUCCUAAAUGUAGUAGAUCCCAUCUAAAAGCCUGUGGAUAUAGGGAUAUGAAUUAAUGGUUUUCGCUAUUCAAAGGCUAUACGUUUAUUACCAGAAUAUACAACACGUUAACUACAUUAGUUCUGAUUUAUUAGUCGUUUUACGAUGUGGAAGUUGAUUGUUCCGUCACCUAUAUACUCACGUGUCUCGGACUGAACUUAUUUUAUCGACUUGUACUGUGUUGACUUUAUACCCUGUCGAGUACUCCUUUAACAAGUUAAACAAAAGAGAAUCGUGCAGAGGCGAUUACGAGACGUAUCGUAAACCAAGGUCGCACAAUGCUUCUUAGUUAUUUUAACUGUAGUAUUUGGUAAAAAACGUGAUCGUUUUGUCUUUAUAAAAACGAGAAUGGUUUUCUUAAAGUCAUAUAACAUCCCUGGAGUUGUAUACCGCAAUGUCAUGAUGUUCACUGUACGUGGAUUCGUACAACAAUCGACCUGUGGGCGGGAUAAGUAAAACGAACUUUGAAGGUUUCGGGAAGACAUAGUACCGUGGAGUUAGAACUGUAGUUGUUGAACGGGUAGACUUAGCACCCUCGGACCUGCUC